UACAGAGGUCCCGAGCGUUGUUCGGAUUCACUGGGCGUAAAGGGUGCGUAGGUGGCGUGGUAAGUUUGAUGUGAAAUCUCACAGCUUAACUGUGAAACUGCAUUGGAUACUAUCCGGCUAGAGGAAUGGAGGGGAGACUGGAAUACUUGGUGUAGCAGUGAAAUGCGUAGAUAUCAAGUGGAACACCAGUGGCGAAGGCGAGUCUCUGGACAUUUCCUGACGCUGAGGCACGAAAGCCAGGGGAGCAAACGGG
rnacentral:rRNA from 1 species